rnacentral:rRNA from 1 species
AACGUAGGACGCAAGCGUUAUCCGGAGUUACUGGGCGUAAAGCGCGGGCAGGCGGCUCGAUGCGUCUGAUGUGAAAUCUCCUCGCUUAACGGGGAGAGGCCAUUGGAAACGGUCGAGCUGGAGGGCAGUAGAGGUAGGCGGAAUUCCGGGUGGAGUGGUGAAAUGCGUAGAGAUCCGGAGGAACACCAGAGGCGAAGGCGGCCUACUGGGCUGCACCUGACGCUGAGCCGCGAAAGCCAGGGGAGCGAACGGG